rnacentral:misc_RNA from 1 species
GCAAACUUGGUCAUUUAGAGGAAGUAAAAGUCGUAACAAGGUUUCCGUAGGUGAACCUGCGGAAGGAUCAUUAUUGAUUUUAAAGGAGAUGUGCUGGCCCUCACAGGCAUGUGCACUCUUCAAUAAAACCAAUAUCAUCCGCCUGUGCACUUUUGUAGAUUAGUGUUAUAUCUAAUCUAUGUUUUUUACAAACUAUUUUGAUAUAAUUGAAUGUGACUUUCACAAUCUAAUACAACUUUCAACAAUGGAUCUCUUGGUUCUCGCAUCGAUGAAGAACGCAGC